ACAAAUUGGAAAUAUUGUGUACAGGUAAAUGUGUAUAUACACCUGAAGCUACUCAGAUUGGUCCAUGUUCUUAAAUGGCAUAACAACAAGACCAAUCCUUGCUCAUAGUAAAUCUUGUAGUCUGAAGAGCAGAUAUGGGAGCUCAAGAGGCAUCAACAGCAAAGAGUCAAGCAUCCACCAAACUAAAAGAUGAAACGGCCAUAUAUGCUAAGAAGUACUCAUUUAGAGAAGAAAGAAGAAUCUCUCCAAUCUAUAUUUGGCCAACCAACAGCUGGAUGUGAACCUUGAGGACUCAAGGUUGUCAAAGAACUAAAGAUGUCAAGAUUCUCUGAGCCUACAUCUUCAAGACUAUAACUGAUUGAUCAAAGGACAACUGGAGCAACAAGCUGUCAGAAGUGAAGGAAAAAUUAUGCACAUCAAUGCCUA
rnacentral:lncRNA from 1 species